GACGAACGCUGGCGGCGUGCUUAACACAUGCAAGUCGAACGGAAAGGCCCUGCUUUUGUGGGGUGCUCGAGUGGCGAACGGGUGAGUAACACGUGAGUAACCUGCCCUUGACUUUGGGACAACUUCAGGAAACUGGGGCUAAUACCGGAUAGGAGCUCCUGCUGCAUGGUGGGGGUUGGAAAGUUUCGGCGGUUGGGGAUGGACUCGCGGCUUAUCAGCUUGUUGGUGGGGUAGUGGCUUACCAAGGCUUUGACGGGUAGCCGGCCUGAGAGGGUGACCGGCCACAUUGGGACUGAGAUACGGCCCAGACUCCUACGGGAGGCAGCAGUGGGGAAUAUUGCACAAUGGGCGGAAGCCUGAUGCAGCAACGCCGCGUGCGGGAUGACGGCCUUCGGGUUGUAAACCGCUUUCGCCUGUGACGAAGCGUGAGUGACGGUAAUGGGUAAAGAAGCACCGGCUAACUACGUGCCAGCAGCCGCGGUGAUACGUAGGGUGCGAGCGUUGUCCGGAUUUAUUGGGCGUAAAGGGCUCGUAGGUGGUUGAUCGCGUCGGAAGUGUAAUCUUGGGGCUUAACCCUGAGCGUGCUUUCGAUACGGGUUGACUUGAGGAAGGUAGGGGAGAAUGGAAUUCCUGGUGGAGCGGUGGAAUGCGCAGAUAUCAGGAGGAACACCAGUGGCGAAGGCGGUUCUCUGGGCCUUUCCUGACGCUGAGGAGCGAAAGCGUGGGGAGCGAACAGGCUUAGAUACCCUGGUAGUCCACGCUGUAAACGGUGGGUACUAGGUGUGGGGUCCAUUCCACGGGUUCCGUGCCGUAGCUAACGCUUUAAGUACCCCGCCUGGGGAGUACGGCCGCAAGGCUAAAACUCAAAGGAAUUGACGGGGCCCCGCACAAGCGGCGGAGCAUGCGGAUUAGUUCGAUGCAACGCGUAGAACCUUACCUGGGUUUGACAUGGAUCGGGAGUGCUCAGAGAUGGGUGUGCCUCUUUUGGGGUCGGUUCACAGGUGGUGCAUGGCUGUCGUCAGCUCGUGUCGUGAGAUGUUGGGUUAAGUCCCGCAACGAGCGCAACCCUUGUUCACUGUUGCCAGCACGUUAUGGUGGGGACUCAGUGGAGACCGCCGGGGUCAACUCGGAGGAAGGUGGGGAUGACGUCAAGUCAUCAUGCCCCUUAUGUCCAGGGCUUCACGCAUGCUACAAUGGCUGGUACAGAGAGUGGCGAGCCUGUGAGGGUGAGCGAAUCUCGGAAAGCCGGUCUCAGUUCGGAUUGGGGUCUGCAACUCGACCUCAUGAAGUCGGAGUCGCUAGUAAUCGCAGAUCAGCAACGCUGCGAUGAAUACGUUCCCGGG
rnacentral:rRNA from 1 species